rnacentral:rRNA from 1 species
UACAGAGGGUGCGAGCGUUAAUCGGAAUUACUGGGCGUAAAGGGUGCGUAGGCGGUUAAAUAAGUUAGAUGUGAAAUCCCCGGGCUUAACCUGGGAAUUGCAUUUAAUACUGUAUGACUAGAGUAGAGUAGAGGGAAGUGGAAUUUCCGGUGUAGCGGUGAAAUGCGUAGAUAUCGGAAAGAACAUCAGUGGCGAAGGCGGCUUCCUGGACUCAUACUGACGCUGAGGCACGAAAGCAUGGGGAGCAAACAGG